UACGUAGGGCGCAAGCGUUGUCCGGAAUUAUUGGGCGUAAAGAGCUCGUAGGUGGUUUGUUACGUCUGCUGUGAAACCUAGGGCUUAACCCUGGGCCUGCAGUGGAUACGGGCAGACUAGAGGUAGGUAGGGGAGAAUGGAAUUCCCGGUGUGAGCGGUGAAAUGCGCAGAUAUCGGGAGGAACACCGGUGGCGAAGGCGGUUCUCUGGGCCUUACCUGACACUGAGGAGCGAAAGCGUGGGAGCAAACAGG
rnacentral:rRNA from 1 species